rnacentral:rRNA from 1 species
CCUACGGGAGGCAGCAGUGGGGAAUAUUGCGCAAUGGGCGAAAGCCUGACGCAGCGACGCCGCGUGAGGGAUGAAGGUCUUCGGAUCGUAAACCUCUGUCAGCAGGGAAGAACGGUCACUGUGCUAAUCAGCAGUGAAUUGACGGUACCUGCAAAGGAAGCACCGGCUAACUCCGUGCCAGCAGCCGCGGUAAUACGGAGGGUGCGAGCGUUAAUCGGAAUUACUGGGCGUAAAGCGCUCGUAGGCGGUAUGUCAAGUCAAGGGUGAAAUCCCCGCGCUCAACGUGGGAACUGCCUUUGAGACUGGCAGACUGGAGUGUGUGAGAGGAUAGUGGAAUUCCAGGUGUAGGAGUGAAAUCCGUAGAUAUCUGGAGGAACAUCAGUGGCGAAGGCGACUAUCUGGCACAUAACUGAUGCUGAGGAGCGAAAGCGUGGGUAGCAAACAGGAUUAGAUACCAGUGUAGUC